rnacentral:rRNA from 1 species
ACUGUAUACAGCGGCGGACGGGUGAGUAAUGCCUAGGAAUCUGCCUGGUAGUGGGGGACAACGUUUCGAAAGGAACGCUAAUACCGCAUACGUCCUACGGGAGAAAGCAGGGGACCUUCGGGCCUUGCGCUAUCAGAUGAGCCUAGGUCGGAUUAGCUAGUUGGUGAGGUAAUGGCUCACCAAGGCGACGAUCCGUAACUGGUCUGAGAGGAUGAUCAGUCACACUGGAACUGAGACACGGUCCAGACUCCUACGGGAGGCAGCAGUGGGGAAUAUUGGACAAUGGGCGAAAGCCUGAUCCAGCCAUGCCGCGUGUGUGAAGAAGGUCUUCGGAUUGUAAAGCACUUUAAGUUGGGAGGAAGGGUUGUAGAUUAAUACUCUGCAAUUUUGACGUUACCGACAGAAUAAGCACCGGCUAACUCUGUGCCAGCAGCCGCGGUAAUACAGAGGGUGCAAGCGUUAAUCGGAAUUACUGGGCGUAAAGCGCGCGUAGGUGGUUUGUUAAGUUGGAUGUGAAAUCCCCGGGCUCAACCUGGGAACUGCAUCCAAAACUGGCAAGCUAGAGUAUGGUAGAGGGUGGUGGAAUUUCCUGUGUAGCGGUGAAAUGCG